AUUAUCAAGCUGACUGGAUGUGAAUAGCGGUGGACGGGUGAGAAUCAUGGACGAUUCUGCCAUGUCAGGGGGAACAGCUCUUCGUAUCUCGAAAUAUUUCCGCGUAAUAUCUACUGGUGCAUGGAGGAGAAGGGGGUAGCCAGCUGUUACUCUUACUACAGCAUAAUUAGUUUGUGGAGUUUGGGCCCACAAAGGUGACUAUCUGUAACUCCUAUUCGCGGAUGAGCAUUAACACCGCACCUGAUGCCCUGUCCGGAUUCCGACGGAAGGCGGAUGAUGGAAAAGGGGAACAAUGGGGCCAACCCCAAUCCGGCCAUACCGGGUGAGUGAAGAACUGCUUUUCGUUGUAAGGCACCCUAAUCUGGCACGAGAGCCUUGAGGGUAAUACCCAUUAGGUUAUAAAGUACCUCGAGAAUAGGCAUCGGCUAAAUGGUUGUGACCUACCGCGGUAAUGCAGAGGGAGAGAGUGUUAACCUUAAUAACAAGGCCUAAGGCGAAUGUAAGUAGCUCAUUCAGUCACAUGUGAAGGCCCCAGGCUUAAGCUGGCAACUGUAUCUGGUUGAGGAGGUGACAGAAUAAGUCCGAGGGAAUUCGAAUUCAAGUUCCUGCUGUAAAUUGCGAAGAAAUUUGGACGAGAAGGCAUACCGAAGGCCGAUUCCUCGGCCAAAUUGGACACUUAGUUCCCAAACCCUGAGUGGCAAGCACCAUUAGAUACCUAGUUAUUCCGCCAGCUAACGGUUAUGGAGGAGCCGUUGGCGUCCUGGACGCCUUGUCGGCGCCGACGACAAGAUAAUUAAACCGCCUGGGGCGUCCGGCAGAAAGUAUGAAACUUAAAAGAAAUGCCAGGGGCAGGCCUCAGCUUGGCAGCAUUUGGUUUAAAUCUAAGCUAGCUUAACGAGCUAACCUAGUAUUGGUAUAGAAUUACUCCUACAGCGGUACAGGUGAGCCUUCGUCAACGCGUUUACAGGUCCAGCAUGGCUUUCGUAGGCUCGUGACCGGAUUUUGUGGUUCAAACACCGAUACUAGGUCAACCCCUUCCAUUAGUUGCCAACGCCAGAAGCUUGGCACCUUAAACAUACGGACACUGUCAAACUUGGAGAAGGCGGGUAACACGUCGAAUCUUAAUGGUCCUGACAACUAGGGCCACAUAGAUGGAUCACUGGUAAAUACGUAAGGUUGCCCAACAGCGUUGUGAUUCUAAACUUAAACAGCUGAACGGUAACCCGAUUCCAAACCGGUACUGGGCUAACUCUAGUGCGAAACUCCAUAAAUCGCAAAUCUGAAAGCUCGGGUCAAUUCGAUCCAAGGGCCUAUACCCAACGCCCGCCAUACCUUAGGAGUCUUUUCGACCAGAAAUUAGGAUCCCAAGGAUAGAGGGCGCUUCCAAGGAGUUC
rnacentral:rRNA from 1 species